rnacentral:rRNA from 2 species
GACGAACGCUGGCGGCGUGCCUAAUACAUGCAAGUCGAACGAACUCUGGUAUUGAUUGGUGCUUGCAUCAUGAUUUACAUUUGAGUGAGUGGCGAACUGGUGAGUAACACGUGGGAAACCUGCCCAGAAGCGGGGGAUAACACCUGGAAACAGAUGCUAAUACCGCAUAACAACUUGGACCGCAUGGUCCGAGUUUGAAAGAUGGCUUCGGCUAUCACUUUUGGAUGGUCCCGCGGCGUAUUAGCUAGAUGGUGGGGUAACGGCUCACCAUGACAAUGAUGCGUAGCCGACCUGAGAGGGUAAUCGGCCACAUUGGGACUGAGACACGGCCCAAACUCCUACGGGAGGCAGCAGUAGGGAAUCUUCCACAAUGGACGAAAGUCUGAUGGAGCAACGCCGCGUGAGUGAAGAAGGGUUUCGGCUCGUAAAACUCUGUUGUUAAAGAAGAACAUAUCUGAGAGUAACUGUUCAGGUAUUGACGGUAUUUAACCAGAAAGCCACGGCUAACUACGUGCCAGCAGCCGCGGUAAUACGUAGGUGGCAAGCGUUGUCCGGAUUUAUUGGGCGUAAAGCGAGCGCAGGCGGUUUUUUAAGUCUGAUGUGAAAGCCUUCGGCUCAACCGAAGAAGUGCAUCGGAAACUGGGAAACUUGAGUGCAGAAGAGGACAGUGGAACUCCAUGUGUAGCGGUGAAAUGCGUAGAUAUAUGGAAGAACACCAGUGGCGAAGGCGGCUGUCUGGUCUGUAACUGACGCUGAGGCUCGAAAGUAUGGGUAGCAAACAGGAUUAGAUACCCUGGUAGUCCAUACCGUAAACGAUGAAUGCUAAGUGUUGGAGGGUUUCCGCCCUUCAGUGCUGCAGCUAACGCAUUAAGCAUUCCGCCUGGGGAGUACGGCCGCAAGGCUGAAACUCAAAGGAAUUGACGGGGGCCCGCACAAGCGGUGGAGCAUGUGGUUUAAUUCGAAGCUACGCGAAGAACCUUACCAGGUCUUGACAUACUAUGCAAAUCUAAGAGAUUAGACGUUCCCUUCGGGGACAUGGAUACAGGUGGUGCAUGGUUGUCGUCAGCUCGUGUCGUGAGAUGUUGGGUUAAGUCCCGCAACGAGCGCAACCCUUAUUAUCAAUUGCCAGCAUUAAGUUGGGCACUCUGGUGAGACUGCCGGUGACAAACCGGAGGAAGGUGGGGAUGACGUCAAAUCAUCAUGCCCCUUAUGACCUGGGCUACACACGUGCUACAAUGGAUGGUACAACGAGUUGCGAACUCGCGAGAGUAAGCUAAUCUCUUAAAGCCAUUCUCAGUUCGGAUUGUAGGCUGCAACUCGCCUACAUGAAGUCGGAAUCGCUAGUAAUCGCGGAUCAGCAUGCCGCGGUGAAUACGUUCCCGGGCCUUGUACACACCGCCCGUCACACCAUGAGAGUUUGUAACACCCAAAGUCGGUGGGGUAACCUUUUAGGAACCAGCCGCCUAAGGUGGGACAGAUGAUUAGGGUG